AGAGUUUGAUCCUGGCUCAGGACGAACGCUGGUGGCGUGUCUUAUACAUGCAAGUCGAGCGGUGCAGCAAUGCAUAGCGGCGAACGGGUGAGUAACACGUAAGCAAUCUGCCCCCUGCUUGGGAAUAGCCGUGCCAACGCGCGGAUAAUACCGAAUAUCGUGGCCUUCCGCAUGGGAGGUUGACAAAAGAUUUAUCGGGCAGGGGAUGAGCUUGCGUCCGAUUAGCUAGUUGGCGGGGCAACGGCCCACCAAGGCGACGAUCGGUAGCCGGCCUGAGAGGGCGAUCGGCCACAUUGGGACUGAGAUACGGCCCAGACUCCUACGGGAGGCAGCAGUAGGGAAUAUUGCACAAUGGGGGAAACCCUGAUGCAGCAACGCCACGUGUGGGAAGAAGCAUUUCGGUGUGUAAACCACUGUCGUGAGGGAAUAAGGCAUCGUUUCGGCGAUGUUGAAUGUACCUCGAAAGGAAGCACCGGCAAACUUCGUGCC
rnacentral:rRNA from 1 species